ensembl:lncRNA LINC01813 long intergenic non-protein coding RNA 1813
AAUACAGGAGACCUUGCAAAGCAGUGUUUGAUAGAUCCCAUUUGGUGGGGUAGAAAUAUCACUCUUAGCUAAGAACCACAAACCAUUUUCAGAAUUCAUAAAUGGAAAAGUUCUUUCAAGAACAAUAUGAAGAAUAUUCCUAAUCCAGUGGCUCCACAUGCAAACUUUGCCUCCUGACCACCCAAGGCAUCAUUUUAGUCAACUACAUCUCCUUCUGGAGCCUAACUUUAGAAAAUGCUUCCCACAUUGUCUCUUUUAGAAGACAAUUUUGAUACAUGAUGUUAGAGGAAACAACUACCUCAACAAGUUUGAAACUCCUUCUAGAAAUUGCUCAGCAGCAACACAUACUGCUUUUCCAGUAAAAGCUCCUAUUUGACAAAGGCGAAACUCCUUGGCCCCACCUGGUGGUUGCUGAAUCCAGCAAAUUCACCUUUUGCAUUUAAGACCCUAUCAGAAGCUGUACUUUGUCCUUUGACAUCUAUGGAGUUAUAGACAUUGAAUCUCCUUCGAUGAUGAAGUGAGGUCUCAUUCCAAGUGCUUAAGAUAAUGAAACCUGUAUGAGGACAGAUGAUGCAACAUCAGCAAUUUUUGCAGUGCUAUGAAUUUCAGGUGGCGUCUUAAUUCGAAGUAGGUUACAAGAUAAAAUACGUGAAAAAGAUACUCCAAAUUUAAAACAGGACUUUCAUGCAAUAAGCAUAAAUGCUUCCUCUCU